AUUGAACGCUGGCGGCAUGCCUAACACAUGCAAGUCGAGCGGACGAAGGGAGCUUUCCCCUGGCUUCCGCGGCCGACGGGCGAGUGAUUCCUACGAAUCUACCUGACCUAUGGGACUAAGGUCAGGACAGGGACCCUAAUAUCGCAUACGUCCUGAUGUUGAACCGGGGGGUUCUUUGGUCCUCGCGGUUUUUGAUGUCACUUGGACGGAUUAGCUAGUUGGAUUGGUAAAGGCCUACCAAGGCGACGAUCCGUAACUGGACUGAGAGGAUGAUCAGUCACACUGGAACUGAGACACGGUCCAGACUCCUACGGGAGGCAGCAGUGGGGAAUCUUGGACAAUGGGCGAAAGCCUGAUCCAGCCAUGCCGCGUGUGUGAAGAAGGUCUUCGGAUUGUAAAGCACUGUAAGUUGGGAGGAAGGGAAGUAAGUUAAUACCUUGCUGUUUUGACGUUACCAACAGAAUAAGCACCGGCUAACUUCGUG
rnacentral:rRNA from 1 species